rnacentral:rRNA from 1 species
UGCCUUACACAUGCAAGUCGUACGAGAGUUUUUAACUCAAGUGGCGGACGGGUGAGUAACACGUAAGAAUUUACCUUUAGGAGGGGGAUAACAACUGGAAACGGUUGCUAAUACCCCAUAUGCUUUCGAGUGAAAUGGAUUUCCGCCUAGAGAGAAGCUUGCGGCUGAUUAGCUUGUUGGUGAGGUAAUGGCUCACCAAGGCGACGAUCAGUAUCUGGUUUGAGAGGACGAUCAGACACACUGGAACUGAGACACGGUCCAGACUCCUACGGGAGGCAGCAGUGGGGAAUUUUCCGCAAUGGGCGAAAGCCUGACGGAGCAAUACCGCGUGAGGGAUGACGGCCUAUGGGUUGUAAACCUCUUUUUUCAGGGAGGAAUCAAUGACGUGUACCUGAAGAAUAAGCAUCGGCUAACUCCGUGCCAGCAGCCGCGGUAAGACGGAGGAUGCAAGUGUUAUCCGGAAUCACUGGGCGUAAAGCGUCUGUAGGUGGUUUAGUAAGUCAACUGUUAAAUCUUGAGGCUCAACCUCAAAAUCGCAGUCGAAACUAUUAGACUAGAGUAUAGUAGGGGUAAAAGGGAAUUUCCAGUGGAGCGGUGAAAUGCGUAGAUAUUGGAAGGAACACCGAUGGCGAAGGCACUUUACUGGGCUAUUACUAACACUCAGAGACGAAAGCUAGGGUAGCAAAUGGGAUUAGAUACCCCAGUAGUCCUAGCUGUAAACAAUGGAUACUAGACGUUGAACAGAUCGACCUGUGCAGUAUCAAAGCUAACGCGUUAAGUAUCCCGCCUGGGAAGUAUGCUCGCAAGAGUGAAACUCAAGGAAUUGACGGGGGCCCGCACAAGCGGUGGAGCAUGUGGUUUAAUUCGAUGCAACGCGAGAACCUUACCAGGGUUUGACAUGAUACGAAUUUUUUUGAAAGAAAAAAGUGCCGUUUGGAACGUA